rnacentral:rRNA from 1 species
UACGUAGGGGGCAAGCGUUGUCCGGAUUUAUUGGGCGUAAAGAGCGUGUAGGCGGCCAUACAGGUCCGUUGUGAAAACUCGAGGCUUAACCUCGAGACGCCGGCUGAAACCCUCUGGCUAGAGUCCGGAAGAGGAGAGCGGAAUUCCUGGUGUAGCGGUGAAAUGCGCAGAUAUCAGGAAGAACACCCGUGGCGAAGGCGGCUCUCUGGGACGGUACUGACGCUGAGACGCGAAAGCGUGGGGAGCGAACAGG